rnacentral:rRNA from 1 species
UAAAAAAAGGUAAGCUACUAAGAGCGAAUGGUGGAUGCCUUGACUGGUAAAGGCGAUGAAGGACGUACUAGACUGCGAUAAGCUACGGGGAGCUGUCAAGAAGCUUUGAUCCGUAGAUUUCCGAAUGGGGCAACCCAAUGUAUAGAGAUAUACAUUACCUAUAUAGGAGCGAACGAGGGGAAUUGAAACAUCUUAGUACCCUCAGGAAAAGAAAUCAAUAGAGAUUGCGUCAGUAGCGGCGAGCGAAAGCGCAAGAGGGCAAACCCAGUGCUUGCACUGGGGGUUGUAGGACUGCAAUGUGCAAGAGCUGAGUUUAGCAGAACAUUCUGGAAAGUAUAGCCAUAGAGGGUGAUAGUCCCGUAUGCGAAAAACAAAGUUUAGCUAGCAGUAUCCUGAGUAGGGCGGGACACGAGGAAUCCUGUCUGAAUCCGGGUCGACCACGAUCCAACCCUAAAUACUAAUACCAGAUCGAUAGUGCACAAGUACCGUGAGGGAAAGGUGAAAAGAACUGAGGUGAUCAGAGUGAAAUAGAACCUGAAACCAUUUGCUUACAAUCAUUCAGAGCACUAUGUAGCAAUACAGUGUGAUGGACUGCCUUUUGCAUAAUGAGCCUGCGAGUUGUGGUGUCUGGCAAGGUUAAGCAAACGCGAAGCCGUAGCGAAAGCGAGUCUGAAUAGGGCGCUUAGUCAGAUGCUGCAGACCCGAAACGAAGUGAUCUAUCCAUGAGCAAGUUGAAGCUAGUGUAAGAACUAGUGGAGGACUGAACCCAUAGGCGUUGAAAAGCCCCGGGAUGACUUGUGGAUAGGGGUGAAAGGCCAAUCAAACUUCGUGAUAGCUGGUUCUCUCCGAAAUAUAUUUAGGUAUAGCGUUGUGUCGUAAUAUAAGGGGGUAGAGCACUGAAUGGGCUAGGGCAUACACCAAUGUACCAAACCCUAUCAAACUCCGAAUACCUUAUAUGUAAUCACAGCAGUCAGGCGGCGAGUGAUAAAAUCCGUCGUCAAGAGGGAAACAACCCAGACUACCAGCUAAGGUCCCUAAAUCUUACUUAAGUGGAAAACGAUGUGAAGUUACUUAAACAACCAGGAGGUUGGCUUAGAAGCAGCCAUCCUUUAAAGAAAGCGUAAUAGCUCACUGGUCUAGUGAUUUUGCGCGGAAAAUAUAACGGGGCUAAAGUAAGUACCGAAGCUGUAGACUUGCGCACAACUUAGAUUAUUUAAGUUUAGAAUAUGAGAAACUAAGUUAUGUUU